rnacentral:rRNA from 1 species
AUUGAACGCUGGCGGCGUGCUUAACACAUGCAAGUCGAACGGUGAAGGGAGCUUGCUCCCGGAUCAGUGGCGAACGGGUGAGUAACACGUGAGCAACCUACCCUUGACUCUGGGAUAACAGUUGGAAACAGCUGCUAAUACCGGAUACGACCCCUGAGGACAUCCUCGGGGGUGGAAAGCUCCGACGGUCAAGGAUGGGCUCGCGGCCUAUCAGCUUGUUGGUGGGGUAACGGCCCACCAAGGCGACGACGGGUAGCCGGCCUGAGAGGGCGACCGGCCACACUGGGACUGAGAUACGGCCCAGACUCCUACGGGAGGCAGCAGUGGGGAAUAUUGCACAAUGGGCGAAAGCCUGAUGCAGCAACGCCGCGUGCGGGAUGACGGCCUUCGGGUUGUAAACCGCUUUCAGCAGGGACGAAGCUAACGUGACGGUACCUGCAGAAGAAGCACCGGCUAACUACGUGCCAGCAGCCGCCGUAACAC